AUUGAACGCUGGCGGCAGGCCUAACACAUGCAAGUCGAACGAGUGGCGGACGGGUGAGUAAUGUCUGGGAAACUGCCUGAGGGAGGGGGAUAACUAAUGGAAACGGUAGCUAAUACCGCAUACCAUCAGAUGUGCCCAGAUUGGAUUAGCUAGUUGGUGGGGUAACGGCUCACCAAGGCGACGAUCCCUAGCUGGUCUGAGAGGAUGACCUGCCACACUGGAACUUGGCCACGGUCCAGACUCCUACGGGAGGCAGCAGUGGGGAAUAUUGCACAAUGGUCGCAAGCCUGAUGCAGCCAUGCCGCUUGUAUGAAGAAGGCCUUCGGUUUGUAAAGUACUUUCAUCGUGGAGGCGUUACCCGCAGAAGAAGCACCGGCUAACUCCGUGCCAGCCGCCGCGGUAAUA
rnacentral:rRNA from 1 species